rnacentral:rRNA from 1 species
CCUACGGGUGGCUGCAGUGAGGAAUAUUGGUCAAUGGGCGCGAGCCUGAACCAGCCACGCAGCGUGAAGGAUGACUGCCCUACGGGUUGUAAACUCUUUUUUUAAAGGAGUAAAGUGAGGCACGUGUGCCUUUUUGUAUGUACUUUAUGUAUAAGGAUCGGCUAACUUCGUGCCAGCAGACGCGGUAAUACGGAGGAUCCGAGCGUUAUCCGGAUUUAUUGGGUUUAAAGGGAGCGUAGAUGGGUUGUUAAGUCAGUUGUGAAAGUUUGGGGCUCAACCGUAAAAUUGCAAUUGAUACUGGCAGUCUUGAGUACAGUUGAGGUAGGCGGAAUUCGUGGUGUAGCGGUGAAAUGCUUAGAUAUCACGAAGAACACCGAUUGCGAAGGCAGCUUACUAAACUGCCACUGACGUUGAUGCUCGAAAGUGUGGGUAUCAAACAGGAUUAGAUACCCCUGUAGUC